rnacentral:tRNA from 1 species
GCCCGAGUGAUGGAACUGGUAGACUUGGGGGAUUCAAAAUCCCUUGCCUCACGGCGUGGCGGUUCGAAUCCGCCCUCGGGUA